rnacentral:misc_RNA from 1 species
AUCCACAAUUUUAUCCGUGACAAGUACCGAUUGAAAUUUCCCGAGCUUGAAUCACUUGUCCACCAUCCGAUCGAUUAUGCACGUGUGGUGAAGAAGAUUGGAAAUGAGAUGGAUUUGACCCUUGUAGACCUAGAAGGGUUUUUACCCUCGGCUAUUAUUAUGGUGGUCUCAGUGACAGCAUCAACAACAAGUGGCAAGCCACUUCCUGAGGAAGUCCUUCAAAAGACGAUUGAUGCAUGCGAUCGAGCUCUUGCUCUUGAUGCUGCAAAGAA